AAAACGAUGAUUUUGCCAACGUCAAGGUUGAGAUUGACACGGGAUAUAAUACGUUAUAAUGAUAUUAUGAAACACGGAUUAGUCUUGGGACAUAAGGGGGAAGCAAGUCGUAUAGAGAUGGAGAAAAUUUUGAGCAUUCAAAAAAUAUGUGAUCAGGUGUACCCUCGUCUAAGCCGCAGCAUUCACAUAGCGAGUUAUAUUCCUGUAGCUGGGCAGCUGACUGAUAGCAAAGCUGAAAUUUGACGUUGACAGAUUAAAUUGUUACUUUUCCA